ACGCUCGACACCUACGGGAGGCAGCAGUGGGGAAUAUUGCACAAUGGGGGAAACCCUGAUGCAGCGACGCCGCGUGAGCGAAGAAGUAUCUCGGUAUGUAAAGCUCUAUCAGCAGGGAAGAAAAUGACGGUACCUGACUAAGAAGCCCCGGCUAACUACGUGCCAGAAGCCGCGGUAAUCUGAGCGGGCUGGCAAGGC
rnacentral:rRNA from 1 species